CCUACGGGUGGCAGCAGUGAGGAAUAUUGGUCAAUGGACGAGAGUCUGAACCAGCCAAGUAGCGUGAAGGAUGACUGCCCUAUGGGUUGUAAACUUCUUUUAUAAAGGAAUAAAACGAGGCACGUGUGCCUUUUUGCAUGUACUUUAUGAAUAAGGAUCGGCUAACUCCGUGCCAGCAGCCGCCGUAAUACGGAGGAUACGAGCGUUAUCCGGAUUUCUUGGGUUUAAAGGGAGCGUAGAUGGGUUGUUAAGUCAGUUGUGAAAGUUUGCGGCUCAACCGUAAAAUUGCAAUUGAUACUGGCAGUCUUGAGUACAGUUGAAGUAGGCGGAAUGCGUGGUGUAGCGGUGAAAUGCUUAGAUAUCACGAAGAACUCCGAUUGCGAAGGCAGCUUACUAAACUGCCACUGACAUUGAGGCACGAAAGUGUGGGGAUCAAACAGGAUUAGAUACCCGUGUAGUC
rnacentral:rRNA from 1 species